rnacentral:rRNA from 1 species
UACAGAGGAGCCAAGCGUUGUCCGGAUUGACUGGGCGUAAAGCGCACGCAGGCGGAUGCGCGCGUGGGGUGUGAAAUCUGGCCGCUUAACGGCCAGGCGCCAUCCCAUACGGCGCGUCUGGAGUGAUGCAGAGGUCGAUGGAAUUGCCGGUGUAGUGGUGAAAUGCGUAGAGAUCGGCAGGAACACCCAGGGGGAAACCAGGCGACUGGGCAUCUACUGACGCUGAGGUGCGAGAGCGUGGGGAGCGAACCGG